CAUACCUACGAAAUGGUACAUAAUUUUUAAAAGAAACAGGGCAGUACACAUAGUAAACGGCAGAAUUAAAUUUUCACACCUCUCAGUCUAAAUAAUGUCAUCAGUAUCCUCUUACGAGAUGAGCAUGUUAUUUUGUGACAAGCGAGGACAGCUCACUGCUUAAUAUCAGGAAUGUGAAAUAGCCACAUCUGAACACUUCCUCAGUAGCUGUGUGGUGAAUGAAACCUAUCACAUGGCAGUAUUUAAAAAAUGUAUAACUCUUUUAUUAUUACACAGGAAUUUAAGGUGGCAGACAGUGAUACAUAGCAGAGGUGUCCUCCGUUUCUUUGUUGGCUGCUGCUUCACAGAUCCACUGUAUUCCCCAUGCAGAGAAGGAAUGGAGUCCCUGAUCCAAAACACAAGUUACCAUCCACAAUUACCGUCUCAGAAACGAACCUACUGGAGACAUAACUUUAGUCUGUCAAUGUGUACUGUGUUUAAUAAACUAUCUACCUUAUCAUCCUAA